GACGUAGGGCGCAAGCGUUGUCCGGAUUUAUUGGGCGUAAAGAGCUCGUAGGCGGCUUGCCACGUCUGCCGUGAAAACCAGCAGCUUAACUGUUGGCUUGCGGUUGAUACGGGUUGGCUGGAGUUCGGUAGGGGAGACUGGAAUUCCUGGUGUAGCGGUGAAAUGCGCAGAUAUCAGGAAGAACACCCGUGGCGAAAGCGGCUCUCUGGGACGGUACUGACGCUGAGACGCGAAAGCGUGGGGAGCGAACAGG
rnacentral:rRNA from 1 species